GCUUCACAGGAGGCCCCGUUUUGAGAGGUGCAUGAAGGUGUGGCCCACGUUUAACAACACUCAGGAGAGGGGAAAGCAUGUUCAGGACACACCGAAUUUCCAAGACGUACAGAUCUCUCCAAACAUCCCAAAAGGCGUAUGUUCCUGGUGGGGCCUGCUCUUGGAGACGGAUGGUGAGCAGCUGCCAGCAGCUACUGAGUGCUCAACUUCCCCUCUAGAGACAGGCUCUGCCCCUCAAGGCCACCUGGGUUUUUGGCUCUCUAAAUCCUGUCCGAGGGUGGCGAACUUGAGGC
rnacentral:lncRNA from 1 species